rnacentral:lncRNA from 10 species
CAGCAAUACACCCAAACCCAUGGAAUUUACUGGUCUAAUCAUAUUCUCUAUUGUGCUGAAGCAGCUAGCUUGAUGGACUGAUGAAAUGGCCCUUUCAAGUCUUAUUCAUGACAGCAUCUGGGUGGCAACAUAAUGCAGGGCUAGAAAAAUGUCCUCCAGGAUAAAAUAUGUGCAUUAAAUCAGCAUAUGGUAUAUGACGUUGUUUCUCUAACAACUAGGAUUUACAUAUCUAGGAACCAAGGGGUAGAAAUAAGAAUGCUUCCUCUGAACAUUAUCCCUAGCAAUCCAAUAACUGGAUUUUUGUCUUCCAUCCUUACCACUUCAGUUUCUGCUGGUCUAGACAUCUGGGUUCCAAAAGAAGAAUGCAUCUCCCAGGAGACAUGACAAUGAUUCCAUUCAACAGGAAGUUGAGACUGCCACCUGAACACUUUGGGCUCCUCAUGCCUCUGAAUCAACGGGCAAAGAAGAGAGUUAUAGAUCCUAACCACCCAGGAGAAAUUCGGUGGCCACUACACAAACAGACUUUUCUGACUCUGCGGCCAGGUGUUUGUAUUUAACUCCACGGUGAGGAGACUCAUCUUCUGACGGACCUAACCUAUACCAUCAAGCUCCAGCACCACAAGCAAAGACAAAAACCUUGCGGAAACUAUUUAACUAACUCCCACAAUUGCAUAAGGAUCUAAAUGAAAAUAUUUCUGCAGUGAACCAGUUCUAUUGUUU